UCCAGUGUUAUACCGCCGAGUCAUUUAACGUUUCCUGAUUAGCUUUCACAAGAUGCAGAGCUUUCUUCUUAUGAUCAUGGGUUCACUUUUUGCUAUCCACCAAUGUAAUGCGACAAGUGAACCUCCAACAGUAGUACCAUCAUGUAGCACUUGCACUUCAAAGAGUAGUCAUACAGGUGGUCUAAGCACAGUUUGGCUCAUCGUAAUAAUAUCAGUGGUGUUCGCAGUCAUUUGGUUUUUCCUU